rnacentral:rRNA from 1 species
GUAGGGUCCGAGCGUUAUCCGGAAUCAUUGGGCGUAAAGAGCUCGUAGGCGGUUCAGCGAGUCGGCUGUGAAAGUUCGAGGCUCAACCUCGAAAUUGCAGUCGAUACUGCUGUGACUUGAAUUCGGUAGAGGAGAAUGGAAUUCCCGGUGUAGCGGUGAAAUGCGCAGAUAUCGGGAGGAACACCAGUAGCGAAGGCGGUUCUCUGGGCCGAUAUUGACGCUGAGGAGCGAAAGCGUGGGGGGAGCAAACAGGAUUAGAUACCCUGGUAGUCCACGCCGUAAACGUUGGAUGCUAGGUGUGGCGGUCUACCAACGACUGCCGUGCCGAAGCUAACGCAUUAAGCAUCCCCGCCUGGGGAGUACGGCCGCAAGGCUA